UUCCAUCUGGGGCUCUCUGCAGUACAAGGCUAAAUAGGGCCCUGGGAUGAGGCACCUGUGACAGGGAGGGGUGCAAAACCAUAUAUAUAUAUAAAAAUAGUGGUAGCCCCAAAAUAUUGGGACAUAUAAAAAAGACAACUCCUGUAUCGCAGAGUAGCUGUUGACAUUAUAGUUGUGCGGUUAGUUUGUUGACUCUAGAGAACCUCGGGCAAAUCACACAUCCCCGUGGCGGCGACUUUGAACGCGGAUGUCAUCCAUAUUAACUUUCAAUGCCAGUUUCUGCGCCUACCAUGAUGACCACAGGAAAUCAGGGUUCCAUUCCGUACAGGGACCCUUAGAAACAGCUACCACAUGCAAGGAAGGCAGCAGGCGCGUAAAUGACCCACUCCCGACGCGGGAAGGUAGUGACGACAAAUAACAAUACAGGACUCUUUAGAGGCCCUGUAAUUGUAAUAAGUCCACUUGAAAUCCUUUAACUCUGAUCAAUUAGAGGGAAGUCUGGUGCAGAGCCACCUACCUGUGCAUGCUGCAGCUGAAA